rnacentral:rRNA from 1 species
UACGAAGGGGGCUAGCGUUGUUCGGAUUUACUGGGCGUAAAGCGCGUGUAGGCGGGCCGUUAAGUUGGGGGUGAAAUCCCGGAGCUCAACUCCGGAACUGCCUCCAAAACUGGCGGCCUGGAGCAGAGGAGAGGCGAGCGGAAUUCCGAGUGUAGAGGUGAAAUUCGUAGAUAUUCGGAGGAACACCAGUGGCGAAGGCGGCUCGCUGGACUCUUGCUGACGCUGAGACGCGAAAGCGUGGGGAGCAAACAGG